ensembl:processed_transcript uncharacterized LOC110285832
CACUCCAUGAAGGUGUGAAUUUAUAGCAUGUUAGAGUUCUGAUGGCAGUUAGUGCUGACAGAGAUUGUAAUUCUGUCCUGAUGGUUGAAAAUAACUGCUUGUUCCUCUUCCACAGGUUUUCCUGGUGAUGAUGAAUCUCAGGCAUUCAAAGGUUCUGUUAGCAGUGCCAUGCUUGUUGGCUCACAGAGAGGGUGUGUCUGGCUGAGAGCAAAGGAGCCAUACCAGGAAAGUUAAAGCGUAUUUUCAUCUUCAAGUCCAGGCUAAAAUAAGGUCUGAGGAAAAGAAUGAGCUGUGAGUGAAAGAUAGGAACAGAAAUCAUGAAAGAUCUGUUUGUCCAGGCCAGUGUUUCACCAUAAGAGAUCACUUUAAAAUAGAUGAAAUAAUUCUUUGCAAUUGCAAAUUUACCUUCCUUGCUUAACCACAUUCAUUGUUAACUGUAGGAGCUGAUAUCUGGUCCUUCCAUUGAUGACUUGUAGCUCUGUAUUCUAGCAAUAAACGCUCUUUAUGCUA